AAAAAGAGAAGGAGAGAAGGAAUAUUAACGAAAAAAAAUAAUAAUUAUUUCUAUAAUAUUUGGCUGAUGGUGGCACAUGGGCGGCACUCUCUCACUAGUGCCGUUCUUCUAUAAAAGAGAUUUUCUUACUAUAAGUUUUGCAUGAGUUUGUGAUAUUUUUCCUCACUCUUUCUUAAUCUUUCUUUUCUUUUUUCUCCAUUGUGUGUUUAUUUCAGUUGGGUUAAAGCUCCGGUUUUUCAGUUAAAAGAAAAAAUCUUUAUCAGAUUAUUUCAAUUGGGUUUUUCUCUGCAGAUAGUUUUGCUUAGUAAAGUCAAUGGAGGGUAAGAAGCAAGCUAACUCGUCUUCAUCAUUUACUGCUGAGCUUUUUGGUGGCAAAGAGUCUCCAUCUAAGCACCAGUCAACUGGGAUUUUCGCCUCCAUUUUUCCUCCUCCAUCGAAGGUGGUAGGUAGAAACACCCAAAGUUCUGAUGUUAUAGGAUCUUGGCAGAGACAUGCCCCUGGAAACCAAACAUGGCCCACCAACAAAUAUGGAAGUUCAGCUAAGAAUGGCGAAGUUGAGCGAUGUAGCAUAGCCUACAAGGACAGGAGUUUGAUUCAUCAAGAAGAAAGAUUAGAACCAUGCCAUCUAAGCUCUUCGAUUUACUAUGGAGGGCAAGAUGUGUAUUCUCAGUCCCAUAGUUCCCAAAUCUCUGAAUCUUCUUACCCUGUGGUUCCCUUUAUUAUUAGGACCUUUGUCCACGCUGCAUGAAUUAUCCAACUAUUUUUUGAGGUAUAAUACUCUUAUCCAAAUCCAUUGCUUAUGACCAAAUGAAAUUCAGAUUCUAUUGCUCACUCACUCAUACUUCAUUUACUCUACCUGUAAUAACAACUUUAUACUUUGUUACCCAUGCACAAUAUCUUCAUAAUUUUUAGAAAACAUUCCUACAGAAACUCUCUAGUAUAAUUUUUUAUUAAAGUUUAUUGAAUUGCAAAUCUCACUUCUGACUCUAAUUAUGCAAAUUGUUUUAUUCAUGAAUCAACAGUGAUACAUAUAUGAUAUAUCAGCAAAUAUUUUUCGUUUAUGAUUGUAGUUUAAGUCUUCUUACCCAUCUCUCUCUCUCUGGAAACCAUAUUUUAAAGGGAUGCACAUGAAGUCAGGAUGGAAAGCACAGGAAGAAA